ACCCGCAAGGGGGAGGGCGAGUAAAGCGGCGAACUGGUGAGUAACACGUGAUUAACCUACCUCUCCGACAGGGACAACCUUUGGAAACAGAGGCUAAUACCUGAUGGUGUUGCUUGCUCAUAAGGGCGAGCAACUAAAGGAGCGUUUGCUCCGCGGGGAGAUGGGGUUGCGGCCCAUCAGCUAGUUGGUAGGGUAACGGCCUACCAAGGCGAUGACGGGUAGGGGGCCUGAGAGGGCGAACCCUCACAUGGGGACUGAGAUACGGCCCUGACUCCUACGGGAGGCAGCAGUAGGGAAUCUUCCGCAAUGGACGAAAGUCUGACGGAGCGACACCGCGUGGAGGACGAAGGCCUUCGGGUUGUAAACUCCUUUUCCAGGGGAAGAAUAAGGGUAAGAGGAAAUGCUUAUCUGAUGACGGUACUCUGGGAAUAAGCCACGGCUAACUCUGUGCCAGCAGCCGCGGUAAGACAGAGGUGGCAAACGUUACCCGGAUUCACUGGGCGUAAAGGACGUCUAGGCGGUUUGGUGUGUCCUCUGUGAAAGCCCUCUGCUUAACGGGGGGAGGCCAGGGGAAACUACCAGACUAGAGGGUCGGAGAGGGAAGCGG
rnacentral:rRNA from 1 species